AUUGAACGCUGGCGGCAGGCUUAACACAUGCAAGUCGAGCGGAGAUGAGGUGCUUGCACCUUAUCUUAGCGGCGGACGGGUGAGUAAUGCUUAGGAAUCUGCCUGUUGGUGGAGGACAACAUUCCGAAAGGAAUGCUAAUACCGCAUACGCCCUACGGGGGAAAGCAGGGGAUCUUCGGACCUUGCGCUAAUAGAUGAGCCUAAGUCGGAUUAGCUAGUUGGUGGGGUAAAGGCCUACCAAGGCGACGAUCUGUAGCGGGUCUGAGAGGAUGAUCCGCCACUCUGGGACAGAGACACGGCCCAGACUCCGACGGGAGGCAGCAGUGGGGAAUAAUGGACAAUGGGCGGAAGACUAAUCCAGCCAUGCCGCGUGUGUGAAGAAGGCCUUUUGGUUGUAAAGCACUUUAAGCGAGGAGGAGGCUACCUGGAUUAAUACUCUAGGAUAGUGGACGUUACUCGCAGAAUAAGCACCGGCUAACUCUGUGCCAGCCGCCGCGGUAAGAC
rnacentral:rRNA from 1 species